GCAUGGCUGAAUUCUGUUUUACUCUUGACGUAGUAAAUGCAGUCAGACACCAUGCUAAAUGAUUAUUUUCACACACUGACUCGUCAGCAGGAUAAGUGCUUAUUACAUGCCUCAUUCUUAUGUCAGAGUGAAUACAGUA